AGAGGCAGAUUUUAAGGUGCCUAUGUGGUUAGGAAAGGGGCCAAAGAAUGAGAGGCAAGCGUGAAGCAAGUGAGGCGAGUGUGCACCCACAAGCAAAGAACCUCCAGGGUCCAUGCGAAAAUGUCCUUUAAACUAAGGGAAGCUCACACUGGCUCUGAGUUUGUGUGCCUGUGCUUACAAGUGUAUAUAUCAGCAGCUGCAUUUGGAAUGAAGACAGGAAACACAAAAAAGAAAGCCCUGGAGACAAAA